AACUUCGUAGCUCAAUGAAUAGAGCGUCUGACUUCGGAUCAGAAGGUUGAGGGUUUGAAUCCCUCCGAAGUUA
rnacentral:tRNA from 1 species